rnacentral:rRNA from 1 species
AAAUUGAAGAGUUUGAUCAUGGCUCAGAUUGAACGCUGGCGGCAGGCCUAACACAUGCAAGUCGAACGGUAACAGGAAACAGCUUGCUGUUUCGCUGACGAGUGGCGGACGGGUGAGUAAUGUCUGGGAAACUGCCCGAUGGAGGGGGAUAACUACUGGAAACGGUAGCUAAUACCGCAUAACGUCGCAAGACCAAAGAGGGGGACCUUCGGGCCUCUUG